GGAGAGGUGGGUGAGUGGCUUAAACCAGUAGUUUGCUAAACUGCCGUACCCAUACCGGGUACCGAGGGUUCGAAUCCCUCCCUCUCCGCCA
rnacentral:tRNA from 1 species